rnacentral:rRNA from 1 species
GGAGACUGCCGGUGAUAAACCGGAGGAAGGUGGGGACGACGUCAAGUCAUCAUGGCCCUUACGAGUAGGGCUACACACGUGCUACAAUGGCGCAUACAGAGGGCGGCCAACUUGCGAAAGUGAGCGAAUCCCAAAAAGUGCGUCGUAGUCCGGAUUGGAGUCUGCAACUCGACUCCAUGAAGUCGGAAUCGCUAGUAAUCGUGGAUCAGAAUGCCACGGUGAAUACGUUCCCGGGCCUUGUACACACCGCCCGU